GAUGAAGAACGUAGCGAAAUGCGAUACGUAAUGUGAAUUGCAAAUUCAGUGAAUCAUCGAGUCUUUGAACGCACAUUGCGCCCCCUGGUAUUCCGGGGGGCAUGCCUGUCCGAGCGUCAUUGCUGCCCCCAAGCACGGCUUGUGUGUUGGGCCCCGUCCUCCGAUCCCGGGGGACGGGCCCGAAAGGCAGCGGCGGCACCGCGUCCGGUCCUCGAGCGUAUGGGGCUUUGUCACCCGCUCUGUAGGCCCGGCCGGCGCUUGCCGAUCAACCCAAAUUUUUAUCCAGGUUGACCUCGGAUCAGGUAGGGAUACCCGCUGAACUUAAGCAUAUCAAUAAGCGGAGGA
rnacentral:misc_RNA from 1 species